rnacentral:rRNA from 1 species
AACGAACGCUGGCGGCAUGCCUAACACAUGCAAGUCGAACGAGACCUUCGGGUGUAGUGGCGCACGGGUGCGUAACGCGUGGGAAUCUGCCCUUGGGUUCGGAAUAACAGUUGGAAACGACUGCUAAUACCGGAUGAUGACGUAAGUCCAAAGAUUUAUCGCCCAAGGAUGAGCCCGCGUAGGAUUAGCUAGUUGGUGAGGUAAAGGCUCACCAAGGCGACGAUCCUUAGCUGGUCUGAGAGGAUGAUCAGCCACACUGGGACUGAGACACGGCCCAGACUCCUACGGGAGGCAGCAGUGGGGAAUAUUGGACAAUGGGCGAAAGCCUGAUCCAGCUAUGCCGCGUGAGUGAUGAAGGCCUUAGAGUUGUAAAGCCCUUUUACCCGGGAUGAUAAUGACAGUACCGGGAGAAUAAGCUCCGGCUAACUCCGUG